rnacentral:misc_RNA from 1 species
GAUGAAGAACGUAGCGAAAUGCGAUAAGUAAUGUGAAUUUCAGAAUUCAGUGAAUCAUCGAAUCUUUGAACGCACAUUGCGCCCCCUGGUAUUCCGGGGGGCAUGCCUGUCCGAGCGUCAUUACAACCCUCAAGCUCAGCUUGGUGUUGGGCCCCGCCGCCCCGGCGGGCCCUAAAGUCAGUGGCGGUGCCGUCCGGCUCCGAGCGUAGUAAUUCUUCUCGCUCUGGAGGUCCGGUCGUGUGCUCGCCAGCAACCCCCAAUUUUUUUCAGGUUGACCUCGGAUCAGGUAGGGAUACCCGCUGAACUUAAGCAUAUCAAUAAGCGGAGGA